rnacentral:rRNA from 1 species
UACGUAGGGGGCAAGCGUUGUCCGGAAUCAUUGGGCGUAAAGAGCGUGUAGGCGGCCAGAUAAGUCCGGUGUGAAAGUCACAGGCUCAACCUGUGAAUGCCGCUGGAAACUGUCUGGCUAGAGUCCGGAAGGGGCGAGUGGAAUUCCUGGUGUAGCGGUGAAAUGCGUAGAUACUGGGAGGAACACCGGUGGCGAAGGCGGCUACCUGGACCGGUUCUGACGCUGAUGCGCGAAAGCUAGGGGAGCAAACAGGAGUUAGAAACCCCAG